UUCCUACGGGGCGCAGCAGCAGGGAAUUUUGCGCAAUGGGCGAAAGCCUGACGCAGCAACGCCGCGUGAUCGAGACGCCCUUCGGGGUGUAAAGAUCUGUCAGUGGGGACGAAACUUGACGGUACCCACAGAGGAAGCACCGGCUAACUCCGUGCCAGCAGCCGCGGUAAUACGGAGGAUGCGAGCGUUAUCCGGAUUUAUUGGGUUUAAAGGGUGCGCAGGCGGUCUGUUAAGUCAGCGGUCAAAGCCCGGGGCUCAACCCCGGCCCGCCGUUGAAACUGGCAGUCUCGAGUUGGAGAGAAGUA
rnacentral:rRNA from 1 species